rnacentral:rRNA from 1 species
UACGAAGGGGGCUAGCGUUGUUCGGAAUCACUGGGCGUAAAGGGCGCGUAGGCGGUUUGGUAAGUUAGAAGUGAAAUGCCGGGGCUUAACCUCGGAACUGCUUUUAAAACUGCCUGACUAGAGUUCGGGAGAGGAUGGUGGAAUUCCUAGUGUAGAGGUGAAAUUCGUAGAUAUUAGGAGGAACACCGGUGGCGAAGGCGGCCAUCUGGACCGAUACUGACGCUGAGGCGCGAAAGCGUGGGGAGCAAACAGG